rnacentral:lncRNA from 1 species
GCUCGUAAUCUUUGAGAGCUCUUUUAGUCCCUACUCCUUAGAUAACACUGAAAAGCAAGGGGCCAAAAGUCACCAUGCAACUCAACUGGAACAAGGCUCUCUUCCUUUCCUAUCUGUCGAUAGUCGCCUUGUCUUGCGAAGCCGCACGAGGAGAGAUCAACACCACCGCCACUCCACCACCGUGCGAUGGCGCUGGCAGCACAACCGAGUGCCUUAUUGCUUACCAGCAACCAGAGCUGGAGGCUAUGGUGGAUCCGGGCAUGCUGGGCGCCCCCCCAUCAAACAGCUUUGCAGACAACUCUCUUAUCCAGAAAAGCGCCGUCGGUGACUGCGGCAAACCAAACAACCCACGACAGUACUUGCAAUGCCCUCCAGUUGCCAAUUGCCAACCAAAGUGCGACCAGUAUCACCGCGACCCUUGUUCUUGUUGAUGUCUCCAUCGCCUUUUGGACCCUCUAUGAUCCAAAAGAUUCAGUAGACCCGACGCGCGCAAUAACAUUUCCUCAUUAAGAAGACAAUCAGCUAGUGCUAAUCGAACUAUGGAGACAUGGAUGUUACGAGUUUGAGGGAUCAGUCGAUGUCGCGACCUCUUUUUUUCUAGCGCCCGCAAUCGGGUACGAGCACCUAAGGAGGCUAAUGGCUCGGCUGAAUUUAUUAUGCCCGGACUCUCCCAAGUCCACCAAUUCACG